rnacentral:rRNA from 1 species
UACGUAGGGUGCAAGCGUUGUCCGGAAUUAUUGGGCGUAAAGAGCUCGUAGGCGGUUUGUCGCGUCGAAUGUGAAAACCCGAGGCUCAACCCCGGGCCUGCAUUCGAUACGGGCAGACUAGAGUUCGGUAGGGGAGUCUGGAAUUCCUGGUGUAGCGGUGAAAUGCGCAGAUAUCAGGAGGAACACCGGUGGCGAAGGCGGGACUCUGGGCCGAUACUGACGCUGAGGAGCGAAAGCGUGGGGAGCAAACAGG